ACUGCUCAGUAACACGUGGAUAACCUGCCCUUGGGUCCGGGAUAACCCCGGGAAACUGGGACUAAUACCGGAUAGAUCAAAGAUACUGGAAUGUUCUCUGGUCCAAAACUCCGGUGCCCAAGGAUGGGUCUGCGGCCUAUCAGGUAGUAGUGGGUGUAACGUACCUACUAGCCUGCGACGGGUAAGGGUUGUGAGAGCAAGAUCCCUGAGAUGGAUUCUGAGACAUGAAUCCAGGCCCUACGGGGUGCAGCAGGCGCGAAAACUUUACACUGCGGGAAACCGCGAUAAGGGGACCCCGAGUGCCAGCACCUAGUGCUGGCUGUCCCGCUGUCCAAACAACAGUGGUUAGCAAGGGCCGGGCAAGACCGGUGCCAGCCGCCGCGGUAACACCGGCGGCCCGAGUGGUAGCCGCUAUUAUUGGGUUUAAAGGGUCCGUAGCCGGCCUAUUAAGUCUCUUGGGAAAUCUGGCGGCUCAAUCGUCAGGCGUCCAAGAGAUACUGGUAGGCUUGGGACCGGGAGAGGUGGGAGGUACUCCAGGGGUAGGGGUGAAAUCUUGUAAUCCUUGGGGGACCACCGAUGGCGAAGGCAUCCCACCAGAACGGGUCCGACGGUGAGGGACGAAAGCUGGGGGCACGAACCGGAUUAGAUACCCGGGUAGUCCCAGCUGUAAACGAUGCUCGCUAGGUGUCAGGUGCGGUGCGACCGCAUCUGGUGCCGCAGUGAAAACCUGAAGCGAGUCACCUGGGAAGUACGGUCGCAAGGCUGAAACUUAAAGGAAUUGGCGGGGGAGCAC
rnacentral:rRNA from 1 species